UACGUAGGUGGCAAGCGUUGUCCGGAAUUAUUGGGCGUAAAGCGCGCGCAGGUGGUUUCUUAAGUCUGAUGUGAAAGCCCACGGCUCAACCGUGGAGGGUCAUUGGAAACUGGGGAACUUGAGUGCAGGAGAGAAGAGUGGAAUUCCACGUGUAGCGGUGAAAUGCGUAGAGAUGUGGAGGAACACCAGUGGCGAAGGCGACUCUUUGGCCUGUAACUGACACUGAGGCGCAAAAGCGUGGGGAGCAAACAGG
rnacentral:rRNA from 1 species